rfam:Chlorobi bacterium OLB6 TZ06_CHB003CONTIG000042, whole genome shotgun sequence.
GGGGGACAACGGGCAGCCGCGUGGCGCAACACGCCAUGAGGAAAGUCCGAACUCCGUUGGACAGCACGCUUCCUAACAGAAAGGCGGUAAUGCUGGUAACAGCAAAGCCGACGGAAAGUGCAACAGAAAGAUACCGCCCGCCCCGGCGGGUAAGGGUGAAAUGGUGGGGUAAGAGCCCACCAGCGGAUGGGCGACCAUCCGGCUCGGCAAACCCCGUGCGGAGCAAGAUCAAGCAGGCAUGUGUGUGCUUCGGCACAGGUGACGUCCAACACCGCCUCACGGCAACAUUCCGGGUAGAUCGCUCGAGGCUGCCGGCAACGGCAGUCCCAGAUAAAUGGCUGCCUCCUUCACUACGGUGAAGCAGACAGAAUUCGGCUUACAGGAGUCUUCCCAUG